AGUAAGAUGGCUGAAUUAGGCAAUAAAUUGUAAAUUUAUUUAUAGGUUUUUUACCUUCUUAUUA
rnacentral:tRNA from 1 species